rnacentral:rRNA from 1 species
CAAUGGGCGAAAGCCUGAUGCAGCAACGCCGCGUGAGGGAUGAAGGCCUUCGGGUUGUAAACCUCUUUUAUCAGGGAAGAAGCGAAAGUGACGGUACCUGAAGAAAAAGCACCGGCUAACUACGUGCCAGCAGCCGCGGUAAUACGUAGGGUGCAAGCGUUAUCCGGAAUUACUGGGCGUAAAGAGCUCGUAGGCGGUUUGUCGCGUCUGCUGUGAAAAUCCGGGGCUCAACCUCGGACCUGCAGUGGGUACGGGCAGACUAGAGUGCAGUAGGGGAGAAGGGAAUUCCUGGUGUAGCGGUGGAAUGCGCAGAUAUCAGGAGGAACACCAAUGGCGAAGGGCACUUCUCUGGGCUGUAACUGACGCUCAGGAGCGAAAGCGUG